rnacentral:rRNA from 1 species
GGAAUAUUGGUCAAUGGAGGCAACUCUGAACCAGCCAUGCCGCGUGCAGGAAGACUGCCCUAUGGGUUGUAAACUGCUUUUAUUCGGGAAUAAACCUAUUUACGUGUAAAUAGCUGAAUGUACCGAAGGAAUAAGGAUCGGCUAACUCCGUGCCAGCAGCCGCGGUAAUACGGAGGAUCCAAGCGUUAUCCGGAUUUAUUGGGUUUAAAGGGUGCGUAGGCGGCCUGUUAAGUCAGGGGUGAAAGACGGUAGCUCAACUAUCGCAGUGCCCUUGAUACUGAUGGGCUUGAAUGGACUAGAGGUAGGCGGAAUGAGACAAGUAGCGGUGAAAUGCAUAGAUAUGUCUCAGAACACCGAUUGCGAAGGCAGCUUACUAUGGUCUUAUUGACGCUGAGGCACGAAAGCGUGGGGAUCAAACA